GACAAUAGAGAAUUCAUUGUAAGCACCAAUGUGUUUUGUCAAAAUAUGAUCUGAAAAUGUCAGUUGUUACGGAUACAAGUAUUCUGUGUGUAUCCUGGGUGUAUUUAUUUUCUCUCCCCCUACUCACAGAUGGCAAUCAUUCCCCAAUCAGUCGCUAAUCAGAAGACACCUGCUCCUUUUCUCCUACCCAAUCACAGUUCCCUUCCCUUGGUUUAAAAACCCUGUCAGUUGUUCUCUCUGGAGCAAUCUCUGUAAAUGCCAUAUGUUUGUAGAUCUAGUGUGGUUUAGGAUACAUGUCACUUUGUCCCCACGUGGUGCGACUACUUCCCGGAGGAGAACAAGAGACAAGACGACUGGAUACCGGACCCCUUUAGAGUGGAGAUGGGACGCGUCACGUUGCCAAGCAACAAAGACAAUCUGAUGGUGGAGCUGUCAUUUGAUCGCGGACUGAGCAUGCACUUCCCUGAAAUGACACCACCAAAGUUCUGGUGCAGCGUAAUGGGAUAGUAUCCUGUUCUCGCCUGUCAUGAAAUCAGAAUCAUGCUACCGUUCAGCACUACCUAUCUGUGUUAAAGUGGCUGAAAACUAAAGUUAUGAUUCACUAUUUUAAUUAUUAUUGUUAAUUCAUUCUGACAUGCAUAUGACAUUUUAUUGAACUGGUUAAAAACUUACACCUUUAAAAAAAAAAUGUAAGGUUGUGAAACUAUUGACAUUGUAAUUGAUGAUUAAGAAUUUCUGCUGAUUGCUGUUUUUUCUAUUUUUAAACACUGGUAUGUGUUACUGUUCAUUAACAUUAUUGGACUGGUUUUGAUGUCAUGUUCUGAGUCUGAUCAUUCCUUACACCCACUCCUGAACUGGUCACCUAAUUAAAUGGCCUAUUCUCUUCAACUGAUAAUAAAAGUUUGCUCAGUUAAUA